rnacentral:rRNA from 1 species
AUUGAACGCUGGCGGCAGGCUUAACACAUGCAAGUCGAGCGGAGAGAGGUAGCUUGCUACUGAUCUUAGCGGCGGACGGGUGAGUAAUGCUUAGGAAUCUGCCUAUUAGUGGGGGACAACAUUUCGAAAGGAAUGCUAAUACCGCAUACGUCCUACGGGAGAAAGCAGGGGAUCUUCGGACCUCGCGCUAAUAGAUGAGCCUAAGUCGGAUUAGCUAGUUGGUGGGGUAAAGGCCUACCAAGGCGACGAUCUGUAGCGGGUCUGAGAGGAUGAUCCGCCACACUGGGACUGAGACACGGCCCAGACUCCUACGGGAGGCAGCAGUGGGGAAUAUUGGACAAUGGGCGGAAGCCUGAUCCAGCCAUGCCGCGUGUGUGAAGAAGGCCCUAUGGUUGUAAAGCACUUUAAGCGAGGAGGAGGCUACUUUAGUUAAUACCUAGAGAUAGUGGACGUUACUCGCAGAAUAAGCACCGGCUAACUCUGUGCCAGCCGCCGCCGUAA